UGGGGAAUCUUGCGCAAUGGACGAAAGUCUGACGCAGCCACGCCGCGUGAGUGAAGAAGGCCUUCGGGUUGUAAAGCUCUGUCGCCCGGGACGAAAAUCCGGUGAGUGAAUAGCUCAUCGGACUGACGGUACCGGGAAAGGAAGCACCGGCUAACUCCGUGCCAGCAGCCGCGGUAAUACGGAGGGUGCAAGCGUUGCUCGGAAUUAUUGGGCGUAAAGGGUAGGUAGGUGGUCUUAUUUGUCUGGGGUGAAAGCCUUGAGCUUAACUCAAGAAGUGCCCCAGAAACGGUGAGACUAGAGUCCUGGAGAGGGUCGUGGAAUUCCCGGUGUAGCGGUGAAAUGCGUAGAGAUCGGGAGGAACACCAGAGGCGAAGGCGGCGACCUGGACAGGUACUGACACUCAACUACGAAAGCAUGGGGAGCAAACAG
rnacentral:rRNA from 1 species